CGUUGAGCGGAUGUAGAGCGGCCCCAGACGAGAGAUGGUUGCAUGACAACAGGGUGUGAGAAGCAUCAAGGAGCAGCUUGAAAUCUUCCCUUCCACAAAGCCUGAUGAAGAUGAUGGUGACGAUGAACCCAGCCCCUGUGUGAGGGCUCCUGUGACACGUUUUGUGACCAUGAUCUGAUUUAAUCAUUGAGCCUCAUGAUGGGUGACUUCGAGGAGUUCCUGUGUACAAAAAGAAAAAAGAAUCCUUGACGAAGGCACCCAGCAAUCCGGGAAUAACGUUUACCUACUGACUGCUGGGUCUCUCUGUGGAGACGGAGCUCCUGAAAUUCUUCCUCACAGAUUACCUACUGAAAUGAAGAGAGAGAUACUGCUUUGGCUUGUAUGAAAGAUAAAUGAAGGUGCCUCCCUGCGAAGGAGUAAGGAAAUGAAAAUUUAAGCCGCUCUAUGAGAUUCUCUUUUUUCAAAAAAUUCAAUUUACUUAAAAAAAAAAUCAAUCUGGUAACAUCGAUUAGAAUAAAAAGGACACAUACCAUUUGACCCAGCAGUACCACUGCUGGGAAUCUAUCCCACAAAAGCACUGGCUUGUAUGGGUUUAUGUAUAAGGGUGUUUACUGAAGUAAAAAUCUGGGAAAGAAA